rnacentral:rRNA from 1 species
CUCAGGAUGAACGCUAGCGGCAGGCUUAAUACAUGCAAGUCGUGGGGCAGCAUGAGUAGCAAUACUUGAUGGCGACCGGCAAACGGGUGAGGAACACGUACACAACCUUCCUUCAAGCGGGGAAUAGCCCAGAGAAAUUUGGAUUAAUACCCCAUAAUAUAUUUGAUAAGGCAUCUUAUUAAUAUUAAAGCUUCGGCACUUGAUGAUGGGUGUGCGGCUGAUUAGAUAGUUGGCGGGGUAACGGCCCACCAAGUCUACGAUCAGUAGCUGAUGUGAGAGCAUGAUCAGCCACCCGGGCACUGAGACACGGGCCCGACUCCUACGGGAGGCAGCAGUAAGGAAUAUUGGACAAUGGACGAAAGUCUGAUCCAGCCAUGCCGCGUGAAGGAUUAAGGUCCUCUGGAUUGUAAACUUCUUUUAUAUGGGACGAAAAAAGGGUAUUCUUGUUCACUUGACGGUACCAUAUGAAUAAGCACCGGCUAACUCCGUG